rnacentral:rRNA from 1 species
AAUCAACGCUGGCGGCGUGCCUAACACAUGCAAGUCGAACGANAAAGGGGACUUGGUCCCUGAGUACAGUGGCGCACGGGUGAGUAACACGUGACUUAUCUACCCUCGAUGGGGGAAUAACUUCGGGAAACCGAGGCUAAUACCGCAUAAUACCCACGGGUCAAAGGAGCAAUUCGCUUGGGGAGGAGGUCGCGGCCGAUUAGUUAGUUGGCGGGGUAAUGGCCCCACCCAAGACGGUGAUCGGUAUCCGGCCUGAGAGGGCGCACGGACACACUGGAACUGAAACACGGUCCAGACUCCUACGGGAGGCAGCAGUGGGGAAUUUUGCGCAAUGGGGGAAACCCUGACGCAGCAACGCCGCGUGGAGGAUGAAGUCUCUUGGGACGUAAACUCCUUUCGAUCGGGACGAUUAUGACGGUACCGGAAGAAGAAGCCCCGGCUAACUUCGUG